rnacentral:rRNA from 3 species
GGUAGCGCCUCGUGAAUUCAUCUCCGGGGGUAGAGCACUGUUUCGGCUAGGGGGCCAUCCCGGCUUACCAACCCGAUGCAAACUGCGAAUACCGGAGAAUGUUAUCACGGGAGACACACGGCGGGUGCUAACGUCCGUCGUGAAGAGGGAAACAACCCAGACCGCCAGCUAAGGUCCCAAAGUCAUGGUUAAGUGGGAAACGAUGUGGGAAGGCCCAGACAGCCAGGAUGUUGGCUUAGAAGCAGCCAUCAUUUAAAGAAAGCGUAAUAGCUCACUGGUCGAGUCGGCCUGCGCGGAAGAUGUAACGGGGCUAAACCAUG